rnacentral:misc_RNA from 1 species
UCCGGUUUGUCACCGGCAGUCUCGCGUGAGUCCCCAACUUAAUGCUGGCAACACGCGACAAGGGUUGCGCUCGUUGCGGGACUUAACCCAACAUCUCACGACACGAGCUGACGGCAGCCAUGCAGCACCUGUGCUAGCCCCUUGCGGACACGAGCUUUCACCCGCUUUAACUAGCAUGUCAAGCCUAGGUAAGGUUCUUCGCGUUGCAUCGAAUUAAGCCACAUGCUCCGCCGCUUGUGCGGGCCCCCGUCAAUUCCUUUGAGUUUUAGCCCUGCGGCCGUACUCCCCAGGCGGAGAACUUAAUGCGUUAGCGACGGCACGGGAGGAGUCGACACCUCCCACACCUAGUUCUCAUCGUUUACGGCGUGGACUAC